GGCUCAGUGGAAGAGCAUCUGCUUGAAGUGCAGAUAGAAGGUCCCAGGUUCAAUCCCUGGCAUCUCCA
rnacentral:tRNA from 1 species